UGAGAGGACGACCAGCCACGACUGGGACUGAGACACGGCCCAGACUCCUACGGGAGGCAGCAGUGGGGAAUUUUGGACAAUGGGCGAAAGCCUGAUCCAGCAAUGCCGCGUGCAGGACGAAGGCCUUCGGGUUGUAAACUGCUUUUGUACGGAACGAAAAGACACUGGCUAAUACCUGGUGUUGAUGACGGUACCGUAAGAAUAAGCACCGGCUAACUACGUGCCAGCAGCCGCGGUAAUACGUAGGGUGCGAGCGUUAAUCGGAAUUACUGGGCGUAAAGCGUGCGCAGGCGGUUUUGUAAGACAGAGGUGAAAAUCCCCCGGGCUCAACCUGGGAACUGCCUUUGUGACUGCAAGGCUAGAGUGCGGCAGAGGGGGAUGGAAUUCCGCGUGUAGCAGUGAAAUGCGUAGAUAUGCGGAGGAACACCGAUGGCGAAAGGCU
rnacentral:rRNA from 1 species